GGCCGGUUAGCUCAGUUGGUUAGAGCUUGGUGCUGGUAACACCAAGGCUAUGGGUUCGAUCCCCAUUCGGUCC
rnacentral:tRNA from 1 species